CCUACGGGUGGCAGCAGUGAGGACUAUUGGUCAAUGGGCGCGAGCCUGAACCAGCCAAGUCGCGUGAAGGAUGACUGCCCUACGGGUUGUAAACUUCUUUUAUAAAGGAAUAAAGUGUGGCACGUGUGCCUUUUUGAAUGUACUUUAUGAAUAAGGAUCGGCUAACUCCGUGCCAGCAGCCGCGGUAAUACGGAGGAUCCGAGCGUUAUCCGGAUUUAUUGGGUUUAAAGGGAGCGUAGAUGGGUUGUUAAGUCAGUUGUGAAAGUUUGCGGCUCAACCGUAAAAUUGCAAUUGAUACUGGCAGUCUUGAGUACAGUUGAGGUAGGCGGAAUUCGUGGUGUAGCGGUGAAAUGCGGAGAUAUCACGAAGAACUCCGAUGGCGAAGGCAGCUUACUAAACUGCCACUGACGUUGAUGCUCGAAAGUGUGGGGAUCAAACAGGAUUAGAUACCCCAGUAGUC
rnacentral:rRNA from 1 species